UGAACAUGUAAACUUGUUCAUUAAAGUGUAUAUGCAAUGAAUACGUAUAAAAUGUACUGCAAUGAAUUUCUGCACAGGUAACCCAAUAAGAACAUCAGUUAUUUGGAUAACUAAAUUAUAUAAGUUCUCGACGAUUAAGAGAUGCCUGCGGAGGAGGCUAACAUUGAAUUGCCAUAACAAGAUAUAUACUUAUAGUUCUAGGGAGCUAGGAGGGGGGAUUUAAGAUUUUCUAACACAGAUGAGGGGGAGGUUUCAGGAAAGUCAAAAGUUGCAGGGCCAGGGGGGAAAGUCAUAAUAUAAUAUAAUAAUUAUACAAGCACAUGUUUAAUUCACCAGCCCCUUCCUCUACUAAAUAACAUUAUCUGGUGCUUGUUCC